rnacentral:rRNA from 1 species
AAUAGAUACCCAGGUAGUCCACCCCGUAAACGUUGGGAACUAGUUGUGGGGUCCUUUCCACGGAUUCCGUGACGCAGCUAACGCAUUAAGUUCCCCGCCUGGGGAGUACGGCCGCAAGGCUAAAACUCAAAGGAAUUGACGGGGACCCGCACGAAGCGGCGGAGCAUGCGGAUUAAUUCGAUGCAACGCGAAGAACCUUACCAAGGCUUGACAUACACCAGAACACCCUAGAAAUAGGGGACUCUUUGGACACUGGUGAACAGGUGGUGCAUGGUUGUCGUCAGCUCGUGUCGUGAGAUGUUGGGUUAAGUCCCGCAACGAGCGCAACCCUCGUUCUAUGUUGCCAGCACGUAAUGGUGGGAACUCAUGGGAUACUGCCGGGGUCAACUCGGAGGAAGGUGGGGAUGACGUCAAAGUCAUCAUGCCCCUUAUGUCUUGGGCUUCACGCAUGCUACAAUGGCCGGUACAAAGGGCUGCAAUACCGUGAGGUGGAGCGAAUCCCAAAAAAGCCGGUCCCAGUUCGGAUUGAGGUCUGCAACUCGA